rnacentral:rRNA from 1 species
UACAGAGAGGGCAAGCGUUGUCCGGAAUUAUUGGGCGUAAAGAGCUCGUAGGCGGUUUGUCGCGUCUGCUGUGAAAACGCGAGGCUCAACCUCGCGCCUGCAGUGGGUACGGGCAGACUAGAGUGCGGUAGGGGAGAUUGGAAUUCCUGGUGUAGCGGUGGAAUGCGCAGAUAUCAGGAGGAACACCGAUGGCGAAGGCAGAUCUCUGGGCCGUAACUGACGCUGAGGAGCGAAAGCGUGGGGAGCGAACAGG